rnacentral:rRNA from 1 species
GACGAACCGUGCGAACGUUAUUCGGAAUCACUGGGCUUAAAGGGCGCGUAGGCGGGUUGCCAAGUCUGUGGUGAAAUCCUCCGGCUUAACCGGAGAACUGCCGUGGAUACUGGCGACCUCGAGGGGGGUAGGGGCUUGCGGAACUGUGCGUGGAGCGGUGAAAUGCGUUGAUAUGCACAGGAACUCCGGUGGCGAAGGCGGCGAGCUGGACCCUUUCUGACGCUGAGACGCGAAAGCGUGGGGAGCAAACAGG